UACGGAGGGGGCCAGCGUUGUUCGGAAUCAUUGGGCGUAAAGGGCGCGUAGGCGGCCGAUCAAGUCGGAGGUGAAAUCCCUCGGCUCAACUGAGGAAUGGCCUCCGAUACUGUUCGGCUUGAGUCCCGGAGAGGGUAGUGGAAUUCCGAGUGUAGCGGUGAAAUGCGUAGAGACUCGGAAGAACACCAGUGGCGAAGGCGGCUACCUGGACGGGUACUGACGCUGAAGCGCGAAAGCUAGGGGAG
rnacentral:rRNA from 1 species